ACGCGUUGGGAGCUCUCCCAUAUGGUCGACCUGCAGGCGGCCGCGAAUUCACUAGUGAUUCGUAUUACCGCGGCUGCUGGCACAGAGUUAGCCGGUGCUUAUUCUGUCGGUAACGUCAAAACACUAACGUAUUAGGUUAAUGCCCUUCCUCCCAACUUAAAGUGCUUUACAAUCCGAAGACCUUCUUCACACACGCGGCAUGGCUGGAUCAGGCUUUCGCCCAUUGUCCAAUAUUCCCCACUGCUGCCUCCCGUAGGAGUCUGGACCGUGUCUCAGUUCCAGUGUGACUGAUCAUCCUCUCAGACCAGUUACGGAUCGUCGCCUUGGUGAGCCAUUACCCCACCAACUAGCUAAUCCGGCCUAGGCUCAUCUGAUAGCGCAAGGCCCGAAGGUCCCCUGCUUUCUCCCGUAGGACGUAUGCGGUAUUAGCGUCCGUUUCCGAGCGUUAUCCCCCACUACCAGGCAGAUUCCUAGGCAUUACUCACCCGUCCGCCGCUCUCAAGAGGUGCAAGCACCUCUCUACCGCUCGACUUGCAUGUGUUAGGCCUGCCGCCAGCGUUCAAUCUGAGCCAUGAUCAAACUCUAAUCGAAUUCCCGCGGCCGCCAUGGCGGCCGGGAGCAUGCGA
rnacentral:rRNA from 1 species